GGAUUGUGCCAGCAGCCGCGGUAAUACGUAGGGUGCAAGCGUUAAUCGGAAUUACUGGGCGUAAAGCGAGUGCAGGCGGUUUGUUAAGCUAGAUGUGAAAGCCCCGGGCUCAACCCGGGAAUUGCGUUUAGAACUGGCAAGCUAGAGUGUGUCAGAGGGGGGUAGAAUUCCACGUGUAGCAGUGAAAUGCGUAGAGAUGUGGAGGAAUACCGAUGGCGAAGGCAGCCCCCUGGGAUAACACUGACGCUCAUACUCGAAAGCGUGGGUAGCAAACAGGAUUAGAUACCCUGGUAGUCCACGCCCUAAACGAUGACAAUUAGCUGUUGGGGAAUUAAAAGUCCUUGGUAGCGUAGCUAACGCGUGAAAUUGUCCGCCUGGGGAGUACGGUCGCAAGAUUAAAACUCAAAGGAAUUGACGGGGACCCGCACAAGCGGUGGAUGAUGUGGAUUAAUUCGAUGCAACGCGAAGAACCUUACCUAGCCUUGACAUGUACGGAAGUCCGAUGAAAGUUGGAUGUGCCUUCCGGAACCGUAACACAAGUGCUGCAUGGCUGUCGUCAGCUCGUGUCGUGAGAUGUUGGGUUAAGUCCCGCAACGAGCGCAACCCUUGUCAUUAGUUGCUACCAUUUAGUUGAGCACUCUAAUGAGACUGCCGGUGACGAACCGGAGGAAGGUGGGGAUGACGUCAAGUCCUCAUGGCCCUUAUGGCUAGGGCUUCACACGUCAUACAAUGGUCGGUACAGAGGGUAGCCAAACCGCGAGGUGGAGCCAAUCUCUUAAAGCCGAUCGUAGUCCGGAUCGCACUCUGCAACUCGAGUGCGUGAAGUCGGAAUCGCUAGUAAUCGCGGAUCAGAAUGCCGCGGUGAAUACGUUCCCGGGUCUUGUACACACCGCCCGUCACACCAUGGGAGUGGGGGAUACCAGAAGUGGGUAGGAUAACCGUAAGGAAUCCGCUUACCACGGUAUGCUUCAUGACUGGGGUGAAGUCGUAACAAGGUAACCG
rnacentral:rRNA from 1 species